CACGUAGGCGGAUCGUUAAGUCGGGGGUGAAAUCCUGGAGCUCAACUCCAGAACUGCCUUCGAUACUGGCGAUCUUGAGUCCGGAAGAGGUGAGUGGAACUCCUAGUGUAGAGGUGGAAUUCGUAGAUAUUAGGAAGAACACCAGUGGCGAAGGCGGCUCACUGGUCCGGUACUGACGCUGAGGUGCGAAAGCGUGGGGAGCAAACA
rnacentral:rRNA from 1 species